GCUGAAAGCAUCUAAGCGCGAAGCCUACUUCAAGAUAAGAUUUCCCACCGUAAGGUUAAGAUCCCAGGAAGACUACCUGGUUGAUAGGUCGAAGGUGUAAGUGCAGUAAUGUAUUUAGCUUAACGAUACUAAUAGAUCGAGGACUUGACCAAG
rnacentral:rRNA from 1 species